rnacentral:rRNA from 1 species
GGAUAACCUGCCCUUGGGACCGGGAUAACCCCGGGAAACUGGGGAUAAACCCGGAUAGGUGAAGAUGCCUGGAAUGGUGCUUCACCCAAACACCUCCGGGUGCCCAAGGAUGGGUCUGCGGCCGAUUAGGUAGUUGGUAGGGUAAUGGCCCAACAAGCCAGUAAUCGGUACGGGUUGUGGGAGCAAGAGCCCGGAGUUGGAUUCUGAGACACGAAUCCAGGCCCUACGGGGCGCAGCAGGCGCGAAAACUUUACAAUGCGGGCAACCGUGAUAAGGGAACCUCGAGUGCCUGUACAUGCAGGCUGUUCAGGCGUCUAAAACACACCUGAAGAAAGGGCCGGGCAAGACCGGUGCCAGCCGCCGCGGUAAUACCGGCGGCUCGAGUGGUGGCCACUUUUAUUGGGCCUAAAGCGUCCGUAGCCGGUCUGAUAAGUCUCUGGUGAAAUCCCACAGCUUAACUGUGGGAAUUGCUGGAGAUACUAUCAUGACUCGAGGUCGGGAGAGGCUGGAGGUACUCCCAGGGUAGGGGUGAAAUCCUGUAAUCCUGGGAGGACCACCUGUGGCGAAGGCGUCCAGCUGGAACGAACCUGACGGUGAGGGACGAAAGCCAGGGGCGCGAACCGGAUUAGAUACCCGGGUAGUCCUGGCCGUAAACGAUGUGGACUUGGUGUUGGGAUGGCUUCAAGCUGCCCCAGUGCCGAAGGGAAGCUGUUAAGUCCACCGCCUGGGAAGUACGGCCGCAAGGCUGAAACUUAAAGGAAUUGGCGGGGGAGCAC